AUAUACGGUGGCGCAGUUGGUAGCGCUGUUUCCUUGAAGCAAGAAGGUUCUGGGUUCGACUCCCAGUCGGUGGU